GUCUAUGGUAGAUCGGGCAGGGCAGCUUCACGGCUGGCCGUUGCUUCUGGUACGGUUUUCGACCCCUGUUCGGUCUACCACCAUU
rnacentral:antisense_RNA from 1 species